UACCAGCACCCCGAGUGGUCGGGACGAUUAUUGGGCCUGAAGCAUCCGUAGCCGGUUUUACAAGUCCUCCGUUAAAUCCAACUGCUUAACAGAUGGGCCGCGGAGGAUACUAUAAGACUAGGAGGCAGGAGAGGCAAGCGGUACUCAGUGGGUAGGGGUAAAAUCCGUUGAUCCAUUGAAGACCACCAGUGGCGAAGGCGGCUUGCCAGAAUGCGCUCGACGGUGAGGGAUGAAAGCUGGGGGAGCAAACCGG
rnacentral:rRNA from 1 species